rnacentral:rRNA from 1 species
GAUGAACGCUGGCGGCGUGCCUAAUACAUGCAAGUCGAACGCAUUGUGGUUGAAAUGAUAUGAAGAACUUGUUCAGAUUUGAUUUUAAACAUUGCAAUGAGUGGCGAACGGGUGAGUAACACGUGGGAAACCUACCUCUUAGCAGGGGAUAACAUUUGGAAACAAAUGCUAAUACCGUAUAAAUAAUUAAAACCGCAUGGUUUUAGUUUAAAAGAUGGUCUUGCUAUCACUAAGAGAUGGUCCCGCGGUGUAUUAGUUAGUUGGUGAGGUAAUGGCUCACCAAGACAAUGAUACAUAGCCGAGUUGAGAGACUGACCGGCCACAAUGGGACUGAGACACGGCCCAUACUCCUACGGGAGGCAGCAGUAGGGAAUCUUCCACAAUGGACGAAAGUCUGAUGGAGCAACGCCGCGUGUGUG